GCCCCGAUAGUCUAGCGGCCAAGGACAUUGCCCUUUCGAUCAUUUUGAGAGGACAGGCAGAAACCCGGGUUCAAAUCCCGGUCGGGGCA
rnacentral:tRNA from 1 species